CCUACGGGAGGCAGCAGUGAGGAAUAUUGGACAAUGGGCGCAAGCCCGAUCCAGCGACGCCGCGUGAGUGAUGAAGGCCUUUGGGUCGUAAAGCUCUGUCAGCAGGGAAGAACGGCCGUGUGGUUAAUACCCAUGCGGAUUGACGGUUCCUGCAGAGGAAGCCCCGGCUAACUCCGUGCCAGCAGCCGCGGUAAUACGGAGGGUGCGAGCGUUAUUCGAAAUUACUGGGCGUAAAGGGGGCGUAGGCGGCCGAUCAAAUCAAAUGUGAAACCCCACGGUUUACCCGUGUGAAGUGCUUCUGAAACUGGUCGGCUUGAGUAUCGGAGAGGAAAGUGGAAUUCCCGGUGUAAAGGUGAAAUUCGUAGAUAUCGGGAGGAAUACCGGUGGCGAAGGCGACUUUCUGGACGAAUACUGACUCUGAGGCGCGAAAGCGUGGGGAGCAAACAGGAUUAGAUACCCUGGUAG
rnacentral:rRNA from 1 species